rnacentral:lncRNA from 1 species
UUUGUGUUUUAAAAUUCCAUUAAUUGGCUAUGUAGCUGCUUUUUCCGAGCCCCGUGCCAAGCGCAGUAAAAUCACAGUCCGGCUGGAGUUAUUUUCAUCAUGCAAAUUCCCAUUUCUGUAAACAGGGUUAAAGCCCAGAAAGGGCCGGGCUGAACGUGUCCUCAGACUGGGAGGUGUCAGACUCCGAUCCUCUCAUUGCCCCCGCAAGUAUAUCCGGAGGAUUCCUCCAAUCGCUCUCUCCUGGAAGACCACUCCCAGCACCCUACUAGCAUCCCCACUUCCAGCCCCUGCCUGGAGAGGAAGAUGAGGGGGUCCCUGCUGGGACCUUGCCAGCCCCUGUACCAGACAUGGGAGCCUUUGCCCUGCUCUGCCCAGACAGCCUCUGUGGGCUCAGGGAGCCAAAGCAGGGAUCCACUCACAAGGAUUCAGCAGAGCCCAGAUUCUGAAGCUGGAAGGAGAGAUGGAGACAUUGAGGCUCCAGGAGAGGAAGCCACUGCCCCAGGAGCCUAGAUCUAGGAAAGGUGGGGGAACUCCAUCUCCAAACUUGGCAUGGUCUCAGCGUUGUCGGAGGACUUUUGAGGGAAGGAGGAGGAGGAGAAGGACGACGACGACGACGACAACGACGACGACAACGCAGGGGCCCAGGUGCUCCUGCUGCCCCAAGGAGCCCGGCGGCAGGAGGCAUGGACGUGGGGGCUGUCGGGCUGGCCCGAGUGCUCUGGCGAGCAGGCCUCGGGGUGGGAAGACUUCUCGCUGCUGCCCCUGAGAGGGCCCCGUCUUGGUGAGUGCAGCCUGGAGAUGAAGCUGAGGACAGAGGCCACACUGCACCCCAGCCCAGCCCUGCCCUGCACUGCACCCCUCACACCUUGCCCUCCUUGACAUCCGCCUCUUUGGGGAACCCUCCCUGGCCAGGUUCCCACCAGAAGACCCCCAAGGCCAGGCCUCAGGCCUCCCCUUCAAGACUGACAGUCUCCCAGGGCCUGUGACAGCCAAGCCCCACGACGCUGUGGCCUCUCAUUGCCCACAACUGCACCAAGAGUUCAGCUCUCAGAGGUGGCCAGGUGCCCCCUGCUAGGGGGCCCUCCCACGGCCCUAGUGCCCGGAACAGUCCCUUUCUCCAAAAUAAAUAUUUUUGUUAGACCAGCAACAGCUGUGGCACUUUCUGCAGUCCCCAAAGAGAAGACAGGCACAACCCCAGGCACCCUCAGAUGCCUUAGUUCAGUUCAUCUUCACAGCAGCCUGAAAG